CUCUCCCAGGAGCAAUGAGGUGCUACAAGUAACUCCUCCCUUGACCCUUCCUUGGUGUUGACUCGGUCCAGUGGAGAGCUGAGCUUUAGUCCCCACCUGGCAGCAGCAAAUGCUUUCUUUAUGUCAAGGCAUCCUUUGUAUGAACAAGUUGAAGGAGAAAGAACUAAUCAGCACUGAAGACCAAAGUGCAAAGAAAUUAUUCAGUGCUCAAAUAAAUCCACCCUAGGCACAAUCACAUUGCAUCGCACAGGCAGAAGAGAGUCGUGAAUUGCAACAAGUUAAGUUGGAAUAAGCACUUGAUAUUCAGAUGCUUAUCAGAACGAUUCAGAUUUCUUAGUACAACAAGACUGAGAAUUUUUAUUUUUAUUUUUUUUUUCUGAAGUUCCUGAAACACUGUUGUAUGAGGUUUCAUAAAUAUCCUUUUCUCUUCAGUAUGAAAUAACAUCGGUCAAUAUAUUGAUUUACAGAAGAAAGAAAUGUUAACCGCUGUGAGCUGU
rnacentral:lncRNA from 1 species